CCCGUGCGCCUAAAGGCGUGCGGGGUUCUGUAAUGCAGCCGAGGACGGUCACAAGCCCGUGUAAAUGCAGAGUGCAGA
rnacentral:ribozyme from 1 species